UACCAGCACCCCGAGUGGUCGGGACGAUUAUUGGGCCUAAAGCAUCCGUAGCCGGCCUUACAAGUCCUCCGUUAAAUCCAGCUGCUUAACAGAUGGGCUGCGGAGGAUACUAUAAGACUAGGAGGCAGGAGAGGCAAGCGGUACUCAGUGGGUAGGGGUAAAAUCCGUUGAUCCAUUGAAGACCACCAGUGGCGAAGGCGGCUUGCCAGAAUGCGCUCGACGGUGAGGGAUGAAAGCUGGGGGGAGCAAACCGG
rnacentral:rRNA from 1 species